rnacentral:rRNA from 1 species
UAACGCGUAGGUAACCAGCCUUGUAGCGGGGGAUAACUAUUGGAAACGAUAGCUAAUACCGCAUAACAAUGGGUGACUCAUGUCAUUUAUUUGAAAGGGGCAAAAUGCUCCACUACAAGAUGGACCUGCGUUGUAUUAGCUAGUAGGUGAGGUAACGGCUCACCUAGGCGACGAUACAUAGCCGACCUGAGAGGGUGAUCGGCCACACUGGGACUGAGACACGGCCCAG